rnacentral:rRNA from 1 species
UUUUCCGGUUGAUCCUGCCGGACCCUACUGCUAUCGGGAUGGGACUAAGACAUGCAUGUCGUGCGCAUCUUAGCUAUGAUAGAACGCGGCAGACGGCUCAGUAACAUGUGGCUAACCUGCCCUUAGGACGGAGCCAACCCCGGGAAACUGAGGCUAAUCUCUGAUAGGCGUGGUUUACUGGAAUGGGUCCACACCCAAAGGGUUCUAAAUCAUGCUUUAGACACCGCCUAAGGAUGGGGCCGCAGCCGAUCAGGUUGUUGGCGAGGCAACGGCUCACCAAGCCUAUAACCGGUACGGGCCGUGGGAGCGGUAGCCCGGAGAUGGACACUGAGAUAAGGGUCCAGGCCCUACGGGGCGCAGCAGUCGCGAAACCUCCACAAUGCGCGAAAGCGUGAUGGGGCUAUCCCGAGUGCCGUCCGCUGAGGAUGGCUUUUCUCCAGUGUAAGGAGCUGGAGGAAUAAGGAGAGGGCAAGCCUGGUGUCAGCCGCCGCGGUAAUACCAGCUCUCCGAGUGGUAGGGACGAUUAUUGGGCUUAAAGCGUCCGUAGCCGGCUCAGCAAGUCUUCCGUUAAAUCCAGCGAUUCAAUCGUUGGACUGCGGUAGAUACUGUUGGGCUAGGGGACGGGAGAGGCCGACGGUAUUCCCAGAGUAGGGGUGAAAUCCUGUAAUUCUGGGAGGACCACCAGUGGCGAAGGCUGUCGGCUAGAACGAGCUCGACGGUGAGGGACGAAAGCUGGGGGAGCGAACCGGAUUAGAUACCCGGGUAGUCCCAGCUGUAAACGAUGCGGGCUAGGUGUUAGGGUGGCUACGAGCCACUCUAGUGCCGCAGCGAAGGCGUUAAGCCCGCCGCCUGGGGAGUACGGCCGCAAGGCUGAAACUUAAAGGAAUUGGCGGGGGAGCA